rnacentral:antisense_RNA from 1 species
AUUCCUGAGAAAUAAAAGGACCUACCAUUUUAAUGGCAGCAUAACCGUUA